GAGAGACUGGUGUGGAUCAAUGGGAUGUUUAUAUAUGUAUGUAUUUGACUGCAUGUAGUUUAGCCUAAAAGUGACCUUGAGAAUGGUAUCUGGGAGCAACAUAGAAAAAGGCCUUCCACCAUCAAGCAGGGUGCUGGUAAUCUCAAAAUACCAGCAGCUGGAUGAUGAAAAGGAGGGAAAGACGGAUAAAGAGAAGAUGCUUGGUAUCAAAGUAGAGAGUUGGAGAAUUGAAGAAAAGGUCAUGCCUAACAUGAAUGGAAGUGUUGCAUCAGAACUCUGAAACACUUUUCACCACAAACCACACUCUGUCCAGGUUCAUUUUCUUUUCUGACCAAUGACAGAGGCAAAUGAAGGCUAAGAAAAACCAGUGCUUUCAGCAGUAGGGAUGAUAGAAUACUCAAAGAUUUGAGUAUCUUCAAGGAACAAGAUACAAAAAACAACAACAACAAAAAAACACCAAAAUGGUCGAUUAACUAAAAGACUUUUUUUUGCUUUGCAUUUCAGGACUUCUUGGUGAAAAUUUUGCUUCUAACCAAAAACAUUGUUUUGAAAGGAAGAUAAUGGUUGUUUUUUUUAAAAAAAAUGCACAAUAUCAUGUUUUGAAACAAUUUGCACCAAUUGUUUUUGCAAUUUGCAUCAGUGAUUUUAAAUUUUCAAAAUGAACAAAAACUUUAAAGUUGGACAAAAACUUCACCCAGAGGGAGUAACAUUUCUGAAAUACUUCGUUUUACAUAUAAAGAUGAAAUAAGCAGAUUUGCACCUCUGUUUCGCAGAAGGCUAACAGAAGGCAAGAGUAGGGGGGCAUGUCCUUUUUCCAAGUGUUCCUGAUUUUUAACUCCAUUUUCACUAUAGUAAAUCUGUCUCUGACAGUCACUAGGGACCUUAUCAUGUGGGCAGGGGUAAUGUGGGGGAUGUUGGGGGCAAUCUUGGAGCAGUGAAGGGAGCUGUCAGGCUCUGUUUCCUCCGGCUGGUGCCCAUAGUCUUCCUUCUCACGUUUCCCCAUCUGUCCCUGCUGCAUAUUCAGCUCCUCUGCCUUUUGUGUGAGGAGUCGGGUGUACACUCAACUCCUUUGGACUCUGCUGCUGGCACACUGCUGGCAGCCCCAUGGAGUUUCGCUAGAAGUAGCCCUGCAUCAUGUGAUGGGCUCUGGGGUACUCCACGCUGGC
rnacentral:lncRNA from 11 species